rnacentral:lncRNA from 1 species
UUGGUGUAGGUAGCACAUUUAUACCUCACAUGAAAGUCACAUUUAUUAUUUUAAAGUUUCUCUACAAUUCCCACACAUUUGUUAUUUGGUAUCUGAUUAUUUUUCAUUGAAGUUGGAGAGCAGAUAUUUUUUUUAUAAGUAUGCUUGUUUUUCACAUAGAUGCCUACAAUAAAAGGCUAAAAUGGAGCUCUCAUAUCAUGGAUGGACCGUUUCACAUACGACUGUAUGUCUUUUUUGGAUCAACAAUUUUCUUCAGUCUGUGUGCAAUCUAUACAGAAAUAGAAUCAGUGUAUCAGUUACCAUGCAUGCUUCCCAGGUCUGAACCAGGGCCCAAUUCUCAACUGGAACCGUCAAAACAAGUCUGGACAUUUACACUUCUAGAGAUGAGCAGCAUUGCUCAGAUGUUGUUUCUCUCUCUUAAAACUAAAAGAUACGCCCAUGACAUUAGGCAAAUACGUAUUUGGAUUGCUCCACUUCUGCCAUUAAUUGUAAUACUGAUCCGUAGACUGGUGAGGAAGAGGCCACGAUGGUGGGGCCGCUUUUGCUGGACAGCAACCAUGGCCAUUUGGAUGCCUUUUUAUUUUGUAAUAACCAUUUAUAUCCUGGGUCAUGUCCAGAAUGCAAUUGAAGAAAUACCACAAACCAUUCUAUUUAUGUUUGGGGCUGCAGGACUAAGUAUUGUAAAUUCUAUUGGUUUGGCAACCAAAUUGUUCCUGACAUCAGGAGGUGGCCAUCAAAAUGUACCUGAUCUUAGAUUCAUCACCCUUCCAUCCGAAUGUGUCUUUGUGUUUGGAUGGUUUACAUUGCAGAUACAUGAUUACUGGACACACAAACACAGGACUGAGAGCAACUUAGAGAUGCACAGAGACCUCGUAUUACAGGAUUAACAGAAACAAUUCCAUUUACUGAGAGCCAUACUGUAUGUGGAUAUAAGGGAUAUGAGGGCCAUGAAGAGGAUGAAAAUCAACCAAAUGUUCACCUGUAAAUCUGCAUAUAUUUACAUUCUGGUCCAGACUACUAGCCAUUUUACAGAGAGUUUCUGGUUAUUCACUGAAAAAAAGGAACUUUUACCAAUCAGUUGCACCACAAAAGGAGAACUGAACUGAAAAAAAGGAACUCUGAUUGCUGAAUUAGAAAUUGCUUUCAUUUUAGUAAAACACUGUACAGUCAAGUGACUUUAAUAUCUGAUACGAAAAAUGUAAUGAAAUGUAUGUUGAAAAAUGUAUAAUGACAUAAGCAAACUGAGAAUAAUUGUACAUGCAAACACAAUGAUGUAUUUCAAAUGAGACAUCACAUGCAAACACUUUAUUUGUAUAGUCUACAGAGACUUUACGGUUUGUUAAAAUUCAAGGUCAGUCCUUCUUAUUGUUUACUGAAAUCACCCAAACCAAACCCAAUCCCUAACCCUAACCUUAACCAUAAAUUGUAGUGAACAGAACAGAUAGUUUGUUUAUAAUCUGAGCAUCUCUAUCUCAAGCUUGUCUGUAGGGGACCUUCCGAAUAAAAUAUGACCCAUACAUUUGUGUACUUAGUUC